GACGAACGCUGGCGGCGUGCUUAACACAUGCAAGUCGAACGAUGAACCCGGAGCUUGCUCCGGUGGAUUAGUGGCGAACGGGUGAGUAACACGUGAGUAACCUGCCCUUGACUCUGGGAUAACUGCGGGAAACUGCAGCUAAUACCGGAUACGACCCUCGGCGGCAUCGCCAGGGGGUGGAAAGAAUUUCGGUCAAGGAUGGACUCGCGGCCUAUCAGCUAGUUGGUGAGGUAACGGCUCACCAAGGCGACGACGGGUAGCCGGCCUGAGAGGGUGACCGGCCACACUGGGACUGAGACACGGCCCAGACUCCUACGGGAGGCAGCAGUGGGGAAUAUUGCACAAUGGGGGAAACCCUGAUGGAGCGAUGCCGCGCGCAGGAAGACGCUUUUCGGAGUGUAAACUGCUUUUAAUAGGGAAGAUUAUGACGGUACCUAUAGAAUAAGGACCGGCUAACUACGUGCCAGCCGCCGCCGUAA
rnacentral:rRNA from 1 species